AACGAACGCUGGCGGCGUGCUUAACACAUGCAAGUCGAACGAGAAACCCUUUCGGGGGGAGUACAGUGGCGCACGGGUGAGUAACGCGUAGGAACGUGCCUUAAGGUGGGGAACAACCACGGGAAACCGUGGCUAAUACCGCAUACAGUCGUGAGACGAAAGAGGGCCUCUGCUUGCAUGCUCUUGCCUUUAGAGCGGCCUACGUCCUAUUAGCUUGUUGGUAGGGUAACAGCCCACCAAGGCGACGAUGCGUAGCCGACCUGAGAGGGUGAUCGGCCACAUUGGAACUGAGACACCGUCCAGACUCCUACGGGAGGCAGCAGUGGGGAAUAUUGCGCAAUGGGGGAAACCCUGACGCAGCAGCGCCGCGUGAAUGAUGAAGGCCUUAGGGUUGUAAAGUUCUGUCUACUGGGACGAUAAUGACGGUACCAGAGGAGGAAGCCACGGCUAACUACGUGCCAGCCGCCGCCGUAAUAC
rnacentral:rRNA from 1 species